AUUGAACGCUGGCGGCAUGCUUUACACAUGCAAGUCGAACGGCAGCGCGGGGCAACCUGGCGGCGAGUGGCGAACGGGUGAGUAAUAUAUCGGAACGUACCCAGAAGUGGGGGAUAACGUAGCGAAAGUUACGCUACUACCGCAUACGAUCUACGGACGACAGUGGGGGACCUUCGGGCCUCAUGCUUGUGGAGCGGCCGAUAUCUGAUUAGCUAGGUGGUAGGGUAAAGGCCUACCAAGGCGACGAUCAGUAGCUGGUCUGAGAGGACGACCAGCCACACUGGGACUGAGACACGGCCCAGACUCCUACGGGAGGCAGCAGUGGGGAAUUUUGGACAAUGGGCGCAAGCCUGAUCCAGCAAUGCCGCGUGAGUGAAGAAGGCCUUCGGGUUGUAAAGCUCUUUUGUCAGGGAAGAAACGGCGAUUUCUAAUAAAGAUUGCUAAUGACGGUACCUGAAGAAUAAGCACCGGCUAACUACGUGCCAGCCGCCGCCGUAA
rnacentral:rRNA from 1 species